AAAGAGCUCGCUUUUCAUACACAGCAAGAUUUUCAUUAACUCAUGGCUCUGUCAGAAAAUGAACUCACUGUUCUACUAAGCUUGUUGCAGGAUGAGCAACUAGAAAAGCGAACUUUCGAAUACCUAGGCCAGGCACUUCAGCACAAUUUCGCCAAACAAGGCCACUUCUGUGUCAGCUGUGACUUGAAUCCUCCUGAAGAAACUGGUGGAAAGAAGCCAGAGUUU
rnacentral:lncRNA from 1 species